rnacentral:lncRNA from 1 species
UGAAAUUGAACAAUUGAAAAAGAUAAGAGUUCAAAAAGGUAAAAAUAAAUUGUAAUUAUAUACAAAAUACUUCCCUCCACAUUUAUCCGAACAAAAGAUUCCCUCCCUUUUCCCUCGUUUUCUACUCUCUCUCUAACGUCUAAACUAAAACCCUCACUUUCUUUCUCUUCCUAUUCCCCCAAUUCCAAUUAUACCCCCACCUCCUUCCCCUAGAAAUCAUAAACCUCCAUGUCCGGAGGGGCUGGAGCCUCCGAUGGUCCCACGCUGCCGUAUCAACCUCCUCCCACGGCUUCAACUGCACCAGCUUCGACGGUUCCUUCGGUUGUUCCGCCGAUACGUCGUCACCUGGCCUUCGCUUCGACGAAGCCGCCGUUUGUUCAUCCCGAUGAUUAUCACAGAUUUUCAUCUAGUAAUAGUCGUGGAAUCGUCGCCGAUCAAGAAGUUGAAGCAAUUGUUGUGAGAUUUCUAGUGAGUUCAAAAAUUUAAUGUAAGAAAAGGCGUACCUCUUUCGUCAGCUUGUUCCCACCCGAUAGAUCUUUUCGCAAAGCUUCACUGGAGAAAUCAUCGAGCAAGUCAUCGGCAUCAUAAAGUACAUCUUUCAGCACUUCAAGCCAAACUUUGACGAGAUUGUCGGUCGUCGAGGUCAUGUUGGAGAUUCCACCACAGUCCAACUUGAGAGAGCGCACGAGAGCUCAACUUAGUAAUAAGCUCUAGGGCGAGGUCGAAAGCAAUUGCUUCGGCCAUUGCUGGUUCAAACAGAAAUCAGGCAAAGAAGCGUUUCGUUAUUGCAAGAGGAGUAAAAUAAGAAUGAUUAAACAUUGGCAAUUGAUUAUUUUUUUAAAAAAAAUUAAAAUAAUUUUUAAUAAUUUUUGUACUUUUUAAAAUUUUUAAUAAGUUGUAUACCAUAUUUGUAUCCUCAACGUUUGGUAACUGAAGGGAGCUAUGCUAAACAUUCAACCAAUCAUUAGGUACUGAAAUGUUUUCAUUAAAUGAUAGUCUUACAUAAUGUACACAAGAUUGCUUGAUAAUUAGUUGUGUUUCCAUGUGUUUGAUUAUUAUUUGAAACUCCGGAAGAGAAAAAUGUAUUUUUUUUCUAAGUUGACACACACAAAAAUAAAAAUAAAGGAGAAUAAAGAACAUAACCAAGAUGUUUACGCAGUUCAAAACUCAUCCUACAUUUGUGAGCUUUGUCUAGAGAUAAAAUCGCUAUAAACUUCACAGUACAAUGAAAUUAUUUAUGCCCAACCCUCCAAACAUGGUGCAACCUCACCUUUGUACAAUUAAGUAAACGCUCUUCCAACUUACAUUAGCUAUGCAAGAGAAAAUCGACACUCGUAAGGUGGCACUCAAAUAAUAGUUACUCACUAAGUGUUCCUUUAAGUCCACAAAUCAUCUAUAUAUACACACUCCAAGAUCAGCUGAUGUAGAAUGCAUACAGAUUGAGUCUUCAACAAAGAAAAAAAGAAAAAGAAAGAACAAAUGUGCAUAGAGAGGAGGAUUUCAUGGGAGCACAAUGCCAUGGACAGAUCAGCUGAUGAAGAAUGCAUGUCCUGCUUUUUGGCUCUUCCAUUGAACUCAUGCUGAAAAAGAAGCAGCUUAGUUACGAGGUUAUAUUAGAUCAUUUGAAAUUAUGAGAUUAUUAUGAUUUUAAAAAUGUAAAGCAAUUAAGUAAUUACCACCCAUUUGUCUGCAUCUAAAUUCUUAAAGUUGUCAAAUGCCUUUCAGAAAAAUACAUGCCAAUCGAAUAUGUGGGCAGAUAAACAAAUGAGGGUAGAAAGUAUGAUCUCUGCUUUUUGUAUUGCAUGCUAUGCUCUGCCGAAGGAUAGAGCCAAAAGCUAACAAAAAUGAAGGGUAAAAAAAAUAAAAAAUUCCAAGAUAAAACAUAAAAUUGUAUAUACAUAUGAUUAAGAUUUAAAUUUGGAAAAUGAAUAAAGCAGAGCAUGAAGUAGAAGCAUAUUGAAGGCUGGCAUGCAAGCAUUUUGGAAAAUGUCCAUUGGGUACCAAUAAAGAUUUUUUAGAAUUAAAGUAUUAGAAGGUAUGAAAUGAUAGAUAUGAACCACCAAAAUGCUUCACACUAAAUCUAAAUUAUUCAAUUUUGUUUUAUUGAAUCAAAUAGAAAAUAAAUGAGGGGUAUGAAUUACCUGUCAUUCCUUGUUGGUAUUUGGUAUAAGCUGCAAUUUCAAAUGUGUAUACACAUAUGGAUUUCAUCAGAUCAUUGGGAUGGUGAGAUUAAUAUAAUUUAAAAGCGUAAAGCAAUUAGCUAGAUUACCACUUUUUUUACUGCAUUUGAAUUCUUGAAAUUGCCAAAUUCGUUUCACUAAAAGUCUUCGAUGCUUACUGCACAAAAUAGCCAAAUAAAAUGAUAAAUGAAGAAAUUGCACCAAAAGCUUGUUCUAUUUUGGCAAAAGAGGCCGUAGUUGGAGAGUCAAUAUACCAACCUGUAGCGAUAUGAGCAAUCUUGUGCCAAUCGGCAUCAAUCCCCUUCCGACAUCUUUCCUCCAUCUGAGGAAUUCGUUUCAUAAAGAACUCUUCCAAACUGGUUCUCGUCCGGAAGCGAUGUUAAAUUAGGCAAAUCGGAGAGAAUAAGCCUUGGAAGAUGGCGACACUUUGGAAUCUUUGCCAGCGCUAGAGAGCGCAGGCUUGUAUGAUCUUGGAAUAUUUGGAAGUUAGGUGCAGAUAACUCCAGCUCCUUUCAGUUACUUAUUGAAAACUCUUCAAGGAAAGAGAGAUGUUGGAACACAGGAAAGAGUGACGUCAAUCCAUGGCAUUCAUGAAUUCCCAAUGUUUUCAAUCGAAAAAGAUGUUGAAGCCCAAGGAGGACAGACACCAGCUUUGGAAUAUUACCAAUCACCAACCAAGAGGUUCCCAUUGCAUGCCUUCUAAAUCAACCUCCUUGCAAUCUCCUAUUGUCAAUUUUUUGAGGCCGGUGAAAACAGAUUAAUGGAAACCAUUAGUUUUCAAAGGUGAAUAAAUAAGGACAAUUAAGAUUGGUGUGAACAAUUUUUACUAAUAUAUGACACAUGUCUAACUAUGAUUAGUUAAAUUUGAAAACAUUUUAAAGAAAUUAAUAUAUAUAAUAUAAAAAAUCUAUAAAAAUUUUCAAAAUUCAAUUAUUGUAAUAUGAAACUUCCAUAUCUAAAAACCCUAAAUUAAAUUAAACUAUUUCAAUUGAAUCGAACAAACCCUAAAUUAAAUUAAAUUAUUUCAAUUGAAUCGAACAAACAAAUUGGACCGAAAAUCAAUUAAUAUGAUUGGUUUGACCACCUAUCUAGUUUUGAAAACCUUGACCAGAACAACAUCAGUAUGUGAAUUUUAUUUUUUUUAAUGAAGUGAUAUUAUUGUGUGUAUAAUAUAAUUAUAUGAUACAUCAAAUAUAAAAAUCCAUUAAUUUAAUAUCUUAAAAGUGUGCAUUUUGUUUAAUCUAAUGUGUUAAAAAGAAGAAGAAGAAGAAGAAAUAAUCCUCUUAAAUUUUAUAAUCUCGUCGUGUUUUUAAUAUUUUAGAAUCAAGUUAAUAUGAUGAGUAUACAAGUAUUUACAAUUUAAUCCAUGUCAAAUGAGAACGGAAAUUUAAAACCUAAAUUGACAGCUACAAAAAUAAAAUGAUUUUAUUGAUAUAAUAUUAAUACUUUCAAAACUUAAUUAAAAUAUUUUAGAAUUUAUAAAUUAAUUUUAAAAAAUUAAUUAAUAAAUUGAGGAUAUUUAAUACAAAUAACUUCUUGUAUGAAUAUAAAUAAUUAUAACACAUUUAUUAUUAAAUGAAAAUAAUGUUUGGUUGGUUGGAAAUGGUCCCACCUUGUUUUACGUUUGGGGAACAAAGCGACGGCGUUUUGGUUGGAGAAGAAGGAAGUAACAUCGUUAAGUACAUCGUUUUGUUUAUCUUUGUUUGAAAUUUGUUUUCUCGUUUUCUAUUUGACGCGGUUAAUAUUCUUUUUUGGGUAAACUAUAUUAAAAGUCAUUCAACUUUUACCUAAUUAUGAAAAGUUACAAAAUAAUCAAUAAACUAUUUUUUUUCCUUUUUUUUCACCCAAUUAUCUUGGAUUUUUUGGUGUUUUCUAUUUUUUCAUUAGCCAACUGAUGAUAAAAAUGAUAAAAUUGAAUUGUUGGGAGACUAUUUUGUAACUUUUCAUAAUUGACUGACCGAAAAAGGAAAAAAAACUUAGUUGGAUGACUACUAAAGUAGGGUACCCUUUUUUAGGUUAAAAUAUGCGAUAUGUCCUUGUACUCACCAUAAAUUUGAAAUUUAGUCUCUAUACUUGUAUUUAUAGGAAUUUAAUUUUUUUACUUUUCAGAGUUCAAAUUUCAGGUCCAAUUGUUAAUACUGUUAAUUUUUUUUUGUUGGAUUUGUUAGUGUGACAGUUUGAUUUAAAAAAAAUUUACUUACUUGGUAGCCAUGUAACUAAGAAUAUGACAUUUUAAAGAACCUGAAUUUAAUAAAAUAAUUUUAACAGUGUUAAUAGUUGGACUUGAAUUUUAAAAUUUUAAAAAUAUAGGGACUAAAUUCUUAAAAAUAAAAAUAUACAAAUUAAAUUCUAAACUUACAAAAAAAAUAUAGGGUUUGGGGGAUUUUAAUUUUGUAACGAUCUAAAAAGUGCAAGUAUUGGAAAGUGAAUUAUCAAGUCUCCGUUUUGGUAAAACGGACUCGUAAAAUAAUUAUUAAAAAUAUUUAUAGAAUUAGUUAUAAGACCAAUUGGAUUUUAGUUAAGUGAAUUUAGUUGAAUUAAAGUUAAUUAUGUAUUAGGACUAAAUUGAAUUAAGUGUGAAAGUUAAUUAUAGAAAAGAGAAAGGUCAAAGGACUAAACUAAUAAUUAAACAAUAAAAAGUGACAAGUGUGUGGUAAUUAUAAAUACAUGUGUAAAAAGAUAAAUAUAUACAAUUGUAAUAUUUAUAUUGUAUAUUAAAUAGAUAUUUAUUAGAUAAAUAAUUAAAUUAUAAGAUAUUUAUGUGAUUAAUAAAUUAAUUUGUGACAAGUGUAGGGUAUAGAUUAAGUACAAGUGUAAAAAAAAAUGUAUACAUUUGUAAUAUAUGUAUUAGUUAUUAAUUAGAUAUUUAUUGUAAUUAUAUUAUUAUUAUAAUAUAAAGUAAAGAAAUAAAAGAAACAAGGAAAUAAAGAAAGAAAAAGAACAGAGAAGUAGAACGAAACAGAGAAAGGAAAGAGGGAAAAAGAAAGAAAGAAAAAGAAAAAGGAAAAUUUGGGUUGUCAAGGUUCAAAGUUAAUUUGGUAAGUCAAUUUAAUCCUUUUUCUCUUAGUUUUGAUGUUUUUGGAAUCCUAGAACAAAGUAUUAUUGGAUUUAUGUCAAAAUUUUGGAAGUUAUUAGAUUUCUGGACAUUGAUUAUGUUGAAUAAAUGAAUGAAUUAGGGGUUAAAUUAAUUUAAUUUCAAGUUAGAAGUUAGUAAAGAAUUUAAUUGUAAAAUAAAGUUUAAGUUUUGAUUAGUAGGGACUAAAUUGAAAGAAUCCCGAAAUUAGGGACUUAUGGUGAAAUUGAAGGGUUAAAAUGAGUUUAUAGUAAGAAUUGAGAAAGAAUAAGGAGUUAGAUUGAGAAAAUAAAAUUAGUAUUGAUAAGGGAUUAAAUUAGAAUUUAGGUAAAGUUUAGGUAUAAAUAGAAAUAUUUUGAUGAAUUUGUGUAUUAAUGAUUUUUAAUUGUUUAAUUACGUAGCUAAUGUCGUGCAAGAGUUAUUAACCAAGAAAGGAAAGGAGAAGGUGGACAAGGAGUGACUCGAGAGAAAUUUCGGUUAGUAUUACUAUAAUUCAAAUUUAAUUAUUAAUUGUUAAAAUUUAAAUUAAUAUACAUGAUAAGCAAAUUGAGGUAAGUAUCAUGAUUGAAUUGAAUUGAGGUAAGUAUCACUUGAUUUUAUUGCACCAAACUGGACAUAAAAGAUUUUCUUAAAAAAUUUAACUUGCAAUGAGAUUGUUUUUUCUCACUAUAACCUUAUAGAGGUGUUAUAUAAGUACAUAUCAUAUCAUAAUUAUAAAUUUAAUUAUUUAAUUGUUAUAAAAAUUAAAUAUAUUACAAAUUAAUAUUUAUAUAAUGAUAUAGUUGAAUACAUGUAAAUUUAUUAUCAUAAAUAUAUUUGUAAUUAUUAUUUAUAUAAAUAAUUUUAUUAUAUUUUAUUAUUUCAUUUAUAUAAAGUAUAGAAUUUUGAGUUUAUAAUAAUUUCAAAGAAAAAAUAUAAUUUUCAUAAUCAAAUUUUAUAUGAAUUAAAUCUAAAUAAGUAGAUAUGUCAUAAUAAAUAAAAAAAUUAAUAAAAAUAUAUUUAUUAAUAAUUUUAUUAUUUACCAUGUUUGCAAAUUUCGUAUAUGUUAUAUUAUUUAUGUUAAAUAUAAAUAAUUUAACAUCCGUAAUAAUCAAUUAAGGUGAAAACACCUUUCUGGUCCCUUACAAUUUUGAUCUCAAGCAAAUUGGUCCUUCUAAAAAAUUUAGAGCAAUUUUAUCAUUGUUAAUUUCGAAAUAUAGUAGCUAAGGAUAAUUAAUCACAACGUUAAUAUUUUUGUCAUCUGUACAUAUUUUUAUUGGUAUAAUAACAACUUUAGCCCUAAAAAUUUACACAUUCUGCCAAUUUAGUUCUAGUUUAACAAAAUCAAAUUGCAACAUUUACACAUUAUAUAAUUAAUCAAAUUGAUAGGGAUUAAAUUGCUCCAUUUUUUUAGAAGGGCCAAUUUGCAAAAUAUUGAAUUAAAGAGGGAUCGAAGAGGUGUUUUUAUCCAUUUUCAACCUCACCUCACUACUACAAUUGUUAUUGAAUCCAAAUAUAUAUCCAAAACUGGUUAUUAUCACAUCACUACGAUAUUCAAUCUAACUAUUCCAAUAACUAAUCUCACCCCAACGUUAUUUUUAAUUUUACUAGAAUUGAUCCAAUUAUACAUCCAAAGAAAACCAUAAACUUAUCUAAAUACAAAUAAAACUAUAAAAAAAAACUUAUUUAGACAUAAAUUGAAAAAUAAAUUUUAUUAUUUCACACAGUAAAAAUAUAAUUACUUGCUUGAUUUAACCCAUUCAAUUUGGUCAGAUUGAAGGUUAUUCUUUGAUAAGAUAUUAUUAUUAUUAUUUGCUUUGGGCAAACUUAAUACAACUUGAUUUACUCUUUAUUAAUUAAAAACAUUUUAUUUAUAUUUAAUUAUAAAAAUGUGUAAAUAUUAUUAAAACAUUAAUUUUUAAUAUUAAAUGAAUAGUGAAAUAGGGUCAACUUAUAAAGCUUAAAGUAUUUAGGAAGUCCCUAUAUUAUAGACUGUAUCAAAUUAGUCUCUUGAUUAUUAAAUAGAUCAAAUUUAUUCUUGCAUUAUUAAAAAAGAAUAAAAUUAUAUCAAAUUGUAACAGAAUUAACAUUAUCAGAGUUAACAAAUUUUAAUACAUUUUUAUGCAAUAAAUGUUUACUCUAUGGUAAUUUGGUUUUAUUUGAUCAUUUUUAAUAGUAUUGAGACUAAUUUGAUGUAGUCCCUAUACUACAGGUACUUUCACCCUUAUACAUGUAUCUGAAUCUUAUUGUGGAUGAAAUUGAAUAAUUGAAAAAGAUAAGAGUUCAAAAAGAUAAAAAUAAAUUGUAAUUAUGUACAAAAUACUUCCCUCCACAUUUAUCCGAACAAAAGAUUCCCUCCCUUUUCCCUCGUUUUCUACUCUCUCUCUAACGUCUAAACUAAAACCCUCACUUUCUCUCUCUUCCUAUUCCCCCAAUUCCAAUUAUACCCCCACCUCCUUCCCCUAGAAAUCAUAAACCUCCAUGUCCGGCGAUGGUCCCACGCUGCCGUAUCAACCUCCUCCUACGGCUUCCACAGCACCAGCUUCGACGGUUCCUCCGGUUGUUCCGCCGAUACGUCGUCACCUGGCCUUCGCUUCGACGAACCCGCCGUUUGUUCAUCCCGAUGAUUAUCACAGAUUUUCACCUAGUAAAAGUCGUGGAAUCGUCGCCGAUCAAGAAGUUGAAG